rnacentral:rRNA from 1 species
UUAAGCGACUAAGCGUACACGGUGGAUGCCCUGGCAGUCAGAGGCGAUGAAGGACGUGCUAAUCUGCGAUAAGCGUCGGUAAGGUGAUAUGAACCGUUAUAACCGGCGAUUUCCGAAUGGGGAAACCCAGUGUGAUUCGUCACACUAUCAUUAACUGAAUCCAUAGGUUAAUGAGGCGAACCGGGGGAACUGAAACAUCUAAGUACCCCGAGGAAAAGAAAUCAACCGAGAUUCCCCCAGUAGCGGCGAGCGAACGGGGAGCAGCCCAGAGCCUGAAUCAGUGUGUGUGUUAGUGGAAGCGUCUGGAAAGGCGCGCGAUACAGGGUGACAGCCCCGUACACAAAAAUGCACAUACUGUGAGCUCGAUGAGUAGGGCGGGACACGUGGUAUCCUGUCUGAAUAUGGGGGGACCAUCCUCCAAGGCUAAAUACUCCUGACUGACCGAUAGUGAACCAGUACCGUGAGGGAAAGGCGAAAAGAACCCCGGCGAGGGGAGUGAAAAAGAACCUGAAACCGUGUACGUACAAGCAGUGGGAGCACGCUUAGGCGUGUGACUGCGUACCUUUUGUAUAAUGGGUCAGCGACUUAUAUUCUGUAGCAAGGUUAACCGAAUAGGGGAGCCGAAGGGAAACCGAGUCUUAACUGGGCGUUAAGUUGCAGGGUAUAGACCCGAAACCCGGUGAUCUAGCCAUGGGCAGGUUGAAGGUUGGGUAACACUAACUGGAGGACCGAACCGACUAAUGUUGAAAAAUUAGCGGAUGACUUGUGGCUGGGGGUGAAAGGCCAAUCAAACCGGGAGAUAGCUGGUUCUCCCCGAAAGCUAUUUAGGUAGCGCCUCGUGAAUUCAUCUCCGGGGGUAGAGCACUGUUUCGGCAAGGGGGUCAUCCCGACUUACCAACCCGAUGCAAACUGCGAAUACCGGAGAAUGUUAUCACGGGAGACACACGGCGGGUGCUAACGUCCGUCGUGAAGAGGGAAACAACCCAGACCGCCAGCUAAGGUCCCAAAGUCAUGGUUAAGUGGGAAACGAUGUGGGAAGGCCCAGACAGCCAGGAUGUUGGCUUAGAAGCAGCCAUCAUUUAAAGAAAGCGUAAUAGCUCACUGGUCGAGUCGGCCUGCGCGGAAGAUGUAACGGGGCUAAACCAUGCACCGAAGCUGCGGCAGCGACGCUGAUGCGUUGUUGGGUAGGGGAGCGUUCUGUAAGCCUGUGAAGGUGUGCUGUGAGGCAUGCUGGAGGUAUCAGAAGUGCGAAUGCUGACAUAAGUAACGAUAAAGCGGGUGAAAAGCCCGCUCGCCGGAAGACCAAGGGUUCCUGUCCAACGUUAAUCGGGGCAGGGUGAGUCGACCCCUAAGGCGAGGCCGAAAGGCGUAGUCGAUGGGAAACAGGUUAAUAUUCCUGUACUUGGUGUUACUGCGAAGGGGGGACGGAGAAGGCUAUGUUGGCCGGGCGACGGUUGUCCCGGUUUAAGCGUGUAGGCUGGUUUUCCAGGCAAAUCCGGAAAAUCAAGGCUGAGGCGUGAUGACGAGGCACUACGGUGCUGAAGCAACAAAUGCCCUGCUUCCAGGAAAAGCCUCUAAGCAUCAGGUAACAUCAAAUCGUACCCCAAACCGACACAGGUGGUCAGGUAGAGAAUACCAAGGCGCUUGAGAGAACUCGGGUGAAGGAACUAGGCAAAAUGGUGCCGUAACUUCGGGAGAAGGCACGCUGAUAUGUAGGUGAAGCGACUUGCUCGUGGAGCUGAAAUCAGUCGAAGAUACCAGCUGGCUGCAACUGUUUAUUAAAAACACAGCACUGUGCAAACACGAAAGUGGACGUAUACGGUGUGACGCCUGCCCGGUGCCGGAAGGUUAAUUGAUGGGGUCAGCGCAAGCGAAGCUCUUGAUCGAAGCCCCGGUAAACGGCGGCCGUAACUAUAACGGUCCUAAGGUAGCGAAAUUCCUUGUCGGGUAAGUUCCGACCUGCACGAAUGGCGUAAUGAUGGCCAGGCUGUCUCCACCCGAGACUCAGUGAAAUUGAACUCGCUGUGAAGAUGCAGUGUACCCGCGGCAAGACGGAAAGACCCCGUGAACCUUUACUAUAGCUUGACACUGAACAUUGAGCCUUGAUGUGUAG